AUUUCUGGAUAAAUUUAAUUUUGGUUGGAACAAACCUGAUACAACGCGCUAUAUGAAGAAACAUAUCUUUAGAAGACUGAAAGAGACGAAUUAGUUGUCCGUUAGACACGGCAACUGGCGUCAGACUAAAUUUCGACAAUAACGCCUAAAGACCUCAGAUAAGACAACGGACUCAGUUCCCUAGCGUGAACAGGGGAACCUCCUGCUAUUGGCUGGCCAAAUGCUGACACGGAAAACAGCAGUAGCGAAGUGCUGCAACUUGUGUUCACGAAGGACAUUUUCAGGUCCGGUUUCUGCACCAUUGAGCUCCAUGACUGUGGGCGAACGGAACAUGAAAACGCUUACCUGCACACAAUAAUACGGCAUAUAAAAUAAUAUGUACUAGUAAAACAUGUGCAUGAAACUUCGGCGAUCUCAGGGAGGAAACGCGAUGUUGUGAUGACAGAAUCUUCAGAGAGGACCGAAUGUUUUAACUUGCUGUAAUCGUGAAAGUCAUAAGUUAGCCUACGUCCUAUUAAUACGAACAUUACUUUGAAAUACACAUCACUUCGACUUACAAACUUCAGAUUAUAGAAUUUUCGCUGAAACUAAAUUUUUAACUCAUGAACACUUUUCAUAGAACGAAGUACGCUCCAAAAUCGAGGGAAGGAUAAGGUACAAAUUCUAAUCCAGACAGCACAGAAAUACGGACAAGAGACAACAAAUACUUAGAAUUUAACACAAAAAGUGUAAAACCAAAAGAUUGCGUGGUAUAGACACAUUACAAGGAUUACAAAACGAAUGACUCGCGCUGCCCAGUUUACAUCGGAGACCAACAGGUGGGGCAGGAGACGAAGAAUGAGACGGGAAUGUAGAUUAAGUAACACUUCUCUCCACUGUCGGCACAGAUCCGAUCGAGAAACGAAGAAGAGGAGGAAGAAGAAGAAGAAUAACCGAAGAAAAAUAAGAAGCAGAAGUAGAAGGGAACAGAAAGGAGACUGGGAAGAAAUAAAAUAAGAAUGCGAGUAGUAUGCAUAAAAGCAGCAAUGAAGAAUUUAAUAUUAAGCAAGAAAUAAAAAAAUAAGGGAGGUUACGAUCAACAUCCACACUCGAAAUUACUUAAACCAUGCGGGAUGCACACACCCAACUGUCAGCCGCUCGUUCUGAAUAUUUUUAACUUAUUACUGCUUCGGGGAACGGACUUUAAAGAGCUAACAAUUUGGAAAACAUUUAUCUAUGUGCCUUUAAACUAAAAGACACGAUCUAGAAAUUAAAAAAUAUCUUAAUAAAGUGCCCAUGAUCACACAUAAACUCAGCAAAAGCCAUCAGUAUUUCAAACAAAGCGAAGCACUGUUGCAAUGGACCAUGAAAGUCGUCUUUGAGUUGUGCAUUGUAAAUCUAAUGUUUUUUUUUAAAUUUAUCACGGAUGAGUAAGAAAAUGUACGUUCCACAUCACAUAAUACCAAUG